CGCGGCCGUGCGCCGUGGGGGGCCGCGCGGGGCGGAGCGGGGGCGGGCCCGGCUUCCAGCCCGGCUGCGCAGAGCGUGCACCUGCAGCCUCGCAGCCGCCGCGCCCGCCAGGUGAUGCUGCCCGGGCUCCUGCGCUGCCAGGGUGACUCGAAACGAUGGCCCGGGUUUGUUCAGUGCCUACUGCGCACCAGCCACUGUUCUAAGUGGUUUACCGCCUUGCGCUGAUGUGCUCCUCGUCAUAAGGCUGUUUCUCAUCAUUUCACAGAUGGUAUUACCCUCAUGUGUGGGACCCUAGAGGAUAUUGUGUAUCACAGAAAACUCAUUACACUGCCAGCCCUUGGAGAAGAAACUGACAGUGCAGGAGCAGCAGUCUCACUGGCCAAGGUUACCCCAGCAGCAGUUUGUGAUACUAAUAAAUGUCUGGAAGCUAA